rnacentral:lncRNA from 1 species
AAUGUUGGAUGUGCUUAGGGAGAUACUCCGCAUGGAAAGCCGCUAGGAACUGCUCCCAAGUAACUGGUACAGGUAGGGUGGCCCGCUUGAGCUCCCACCAGCGUACUGCUUCCCCUACCAGCAUGUAGGAGGCAAUGGCAGCCCUCUGCUCGGGAACUACUCCCAAGGUCUCAAAAGCUCUCUCAGUCUCUGCCAGCCAGUAUUGGGCCUCUUCGAACGAGGAUCCCCCUGAAAAAGUAGAAGGGUUCAGUCUCUUGUACCUCUCUAUGAAGCUGGGGUCGAUCAAGGAGGGAGCGGGGUCCCGAGGUAGAGGGACUGGGGUCGGCUGAGGGUGGACUGGGGGACCCUGUGGUGGCGCCUGCUGAUAGGGUGGGGGCACUGGAAUGUGCUGUGGCGGCACCUGUUGGUACUGUGGCUGUGGUACCGGAUCGUACCGCGGCUGUGGUGCCGGGUGGUAUCGUGGAGGGACAGGCUCCUGCCGGGGUGGCUCGGGAUCAGCCUGCUGUAGCGGGGGCUCGACCUGCGCUAGUGGAGGAGGUCCCGGUAACUCCCUUCUCUCCUAUUGUCUUCGCUGGGCAGCUGCGAGAGCCUCCACCAU